rnacentral:rRNA from 1 species
GUAGGGUGCAAGCGUUAAUCGGAAUUACUGGGCGUAAAGCGUGCGCAGGCGGUUAUCCAAGACAGAUGUGAAAUCCCCGGGCUCAACCUGGGAAUGGCAUUUGUGACUGGAUAGCUAGAGUGUGUCAGAGGGGGGUGGAAUUCCACGUGUAGCAGUGAAAUGCGUAGAGAUGUGGAGGAACACCGAUGGCGAAGGCAGCCCCCUGGGACGAUACUGACGCUCAUGCACGAAAGCGUGGGGAGCAAACAGGAUUAGAUACCCUGGUAGUCCACGCCCUAAACGAUGUCUACUAGUUGUUGGGGCUUAAUUGACUCAGUAACGCAGCUAACGCGUGAAGUAGACCGCCUGGGGAGUACGGUCGCAAGAUUA